GUGUGUGUGUAUGUGUAUGUGUGUGUGUGUGUGUGUGUGUAUAUAUGACAGAUUUUAACUCUGGCCAAGAAAAGCCAUUCCCAGUAGAAAUCAUCCCGAACCACAACUCAACUGUGGGCCUGAGGCAGCCAAGAAAUAAUCUUUUUAAAUAUUCUGAUCAGGGACUUGGAAAACAGAAAAUUUAAAACUUCAGCUCAGAAGUGUAUGAUUAACUCUGAGCGGAUGUGGUGGUUCUAGCCACGUAAUUUUAGGCGUUCUAAUUGGCAGUUUAAAAAUAGCAGAGUCGCAGGCUGCUCCUCGGUGCUGCUUCUCGCUUUGUUUCGCCCAUGAGUAUGCACUGUACUUAAGGAGUCUUAAGGCUGCUGGCGACGGGCUGGGAACCAGGACUCUUAUCUCCCGUCUCCCAGGUCUGCCGGACUCUGUCCUGACACACCACAGCGUCAUAAAAACUUGUGUUUUCUUAGGAUUCCUCCUAGCCGCCGGCUCACAGACAUAUUCCUCUUCCUUCUCUAAUAACUAGGUGCUUAAAGGUAGUGCUUCGAUGAUAAUAUUCAAGUAAAUCAAUUUCUGGGUACCUGAAACUUCCAGCUGAGCUGCGUCAUUUGCUUGCCAGGUAACAAGUACUUCAGGAUGUCAUCAAGAAAAGGAAAACACUGAUUUCAAAUAACCAAUUAUUUACAAAAUUCUUUCCCAUAUCUGUGUGAGGCAAGGUCCGCAAGAUAAAACAAAUGUUUGUUUCUCUUUACUGCUGUUUCCAUGGGCAGCAAGAUGACACAUCAGCGUAGACACCCACGAGGGAGCUGCAUUUUUCCCUUUUGCAUUUCCAAGGAACCCCAGGAGUCCCAUCUGGUCUAACAUAAAGUCAUGUAUCUUUACCUAAUUUUGGCCUCUGAGUUUUCCUUCUGGGAGACACUUGCUGCUUCACUGUGGAGGGGUCUAGGGGUAGAAAGCCAGCUGGAGCUGUGGAGCUGUUUAUAACACCCCAAGGACUGUUGUUCUGCCCCAAGCAGGGGGUUUGUUGGGGCCCAUGCAGGGGGAGUCUCAACGGGCAAUCCCCCGUUCCUCGUGGGAUGUGGUUUAUCAUUCCUGCUUUGAGUUUCAUUAACAUGGAAUCUUGCACUUUCCCAACCAAUGACGCCACAAAAGAAUAAACUAUAUUAAGUCCAUAAAUCUCAGACUGCCAAGUCCCUGGAAUAUCAACUGAUGAAACUCUCCGCUUUCUAACCUGAGACUCCCAGGUGAUGCUGAGAACACUAGCACAAAGAAGCUUGUCUUACCUACCAAGCAACUUGUCUUAACUUUGACCUCUGGGACAGAAUAUUCUAUGGACGUGACCAAAAAGGAGUUUCUAACACACUGGGUGGGAGAAGAGCAGGCUUAUUUAAGAGAGAUCAGAUUUUUUUAUACAGUAUCAGAUUUGUACUCCAAGUCUUUCAAAACUUGACAGAAGGGUCAUCCAAAGCUGCCUUCCUGCUUUCCAGGUAUGAAUCCAGAGCUGCAGUCCAUAAGGCCAUAAGAAAUAUAGGCAUGGGUAUAAAGGGACAUGGAAGCCAAAAAGCCAUCAUCUGGCCAUCUGAAUCUGGCCCUGCAAUUGUCUCUUCACUCAUGAAUACGUGAUUUUACUUGCCAGCAGAAACAGCUGACAGAGGAUAGCCUCUGCCUCCCAUCUGCCUUCCAACCAAGCAAGUAUCAUUUGAUGACUUUUCACCUCUGCAGAAUAGUACGACACCAUAAAAGAGGGGUGGAAAUGGGGUUGAGAUCUACAGCCUAAGUAUCCCUCACUGACUCCCAAUAUAGCCAGGUGAUUUGACUGGUUAUUUAUUCUUGGCCUCCUUCAAGGUUUUCACCUGACCCACACAAACCUUGGUGUCCCCGAGGUUCUAUCCUCAGCCAUGGCUUUUCUUGCCCAACAGGCUAACGGAUGAUUCAUACUUGGAGAUUCGUACUUGGGAGAUCACCUCCAUUCUCUCGCCCUCAGCUAGUAUUUAACUCAAUAUCUGUAGCUAACACCUCUCCCCUGAACUUCAAAUUAAUAUAUCCAACUCUCUGCCAGACAGCUCCAGUUAGAUAUUCCAGGUAAUGUGAAGUCAACCUAUCACUAAGGCUGUACUUGUUUCUCUUCUUAUUGCGAUUCCAGUUACUAUGAAUGUCACCAUCAUCGACCCAGGCACCCAGGCUGCAUUCCUCAACUAUAUGUAGAGCUCAUUCCUUUGCCUCAUCUCUCAUAUUCGCUAUCCAAGAACUACCUGUUUUGUCAUCUAAAUCUUUCUCAUUCAUCUUGUCCUCUCCAGCCCUGCUACCACUGUCCUAGUUCAAGCCCCUGUCGUUUCCCACCUAGAUUUCUGCAGCAGCUUCCUAGUUGAUUUUCCUAGAUCCAGUCUUCAACUCAGCUCUGUCUUCUGUGUAGUUGACAAUGAUGGUAUUAUACACAAGCUUGAUUACAUCAGCUACCUGCUCAAACCUGUUCCAUGGUUCUUCAACACCUGUUGCAAUGGCCUUAAACUCUGCUGCACAUCAAAAUCUAUAUAGAGUCUAUUAUAAGGCAUUAUCUUGGGAGCUUAAAACUAUCAAUACCUAAGCCUCACUUCAGACCAAUUGAAUCAAGUCCCUAAGGUUAGAAUUUGGGAAUCAAUAUUUUUAAAAAGCUUCCUAAGUGAUUUUAAUAUGUAGCUAGUGCAUAUGAGGCCUGAUUCUGUGUUGGUUGUCUGUUGCUACCCAACAAAACUUUGUGCAACAACUCAGUGGCUUAAAAAAAAUCAUCAUUUUAUUAUAUCUCACAGUUUUGUGGAUUGCAAAUUCAAACAGGGCUUGUCUGAGCAAGCAUUUUAACAAGUCAACAAGUCAACAUUUUAACAAGCUCCUCAAGUAAUUCCUAUCUACAGUGAAGUUUGAGAAUCAGUGACCUAUAGGUCAAAGUCUAACAUGCUUAAGUUAUUUGAGGUCUUAUUUUAUCUGGCACUGGCCACACCUUGUCAGCUUUAACACUCUUCAUUUUUCCCCCUGGACUUUAAGAUUCAGGAACACUAACUAACUUAGUUUUCUGCACUUUAUUCUCCAUGCUUUCGUUCAUUGGUCUCUCUGUUCUUUGUUGUUAGACACCAACAAAGAAAAUGUAGUAAACUUAAAGACACAGCAAUUGAAACCAAAAUUAAACAGAGAGAGAAAAGACUAAAAAAAGAAAAGAAAAGCAGAGCAUCAGUGAGCUGUGGGAUAAUUUCAGGUGGCCUAAUAUAUACGUUUUAGAGUCCAAGAAGGU